GACGAACGCUGGCGGCGUGCUUAACACAUGCAAGUCGAACGGAAAGGCCCCUUUGGGGGUACUCGAGUGGCGAACGGGUGAGUAACACGUGAGUAACCUGCCCUUGACUUCGGGAUAACUUCAGGAAACUGGGGCUAAUACCGGAUAGGAAUCCUUGCUGCAUGGUGGGGGUUGGAAAGCUUCGGCGGUUUUGGAUGGACUCGCGGCUUAUCAGCUUGUUGGUGGGGUAGUGGCUUACCAAGGCUUUGAUGGGUAGCCGGCCUGAGAGGGCGACCGGCCACAUUGGGACUGAGAUACGGCCCAGACUCCUACGGGAGGCAGCAGUGGGGAAUAUUGCACAAUGGGCGGAAGCCUGAUGCAGCAACGCCGCGUGCGGGAGGACGGCCUUCGGGUUGUAAACCGCUUUCAGCAGGGGCGAAGCUUGUGGUGACGGUACCUGCAGAAGAAGCACCGGCUAACUACGUG
rnacentral:rRNA from 1 species